UCCCUGGAAGCUCAGUGAUUAGGGUUUAGCACUUUCAGUGCUGUGACCUGGGUUCAAUCUCUAGUCAGGGAA
rnacentral:tRNA from 1 species